GAUGAACGCUGGCGGCGUGCCUAACACAUGCAAGUCGAACGACCGCACGCGAAUCGUGGUUCCGUGAAGUUACCAACGGGUGGGUGAGUCAUACGUAGAUACCCGAGCUAUAUGACUGAGAUAACGUAAGGAAGGCGUAGUUCAUACUAGAUCAUAUCACCAAACGGAUGGUUCUACAGUGAUCGAUCGUUUUGCGGUCCCUUUGAGAUCGAUCCGCGCUGCUUUGGAUAGUUGGCUGGGUAACGGCCUACCAAGGCAACGACGGAUAGCCGACCUGAGAGGGGGAUCGGCCACACUGGAACUGAGCCACGGUCCAGACUCCUACGGGAGGCAGCAGUGGGGAAUCUUCGGCAAUGGGCGAAAGCCUGACACAGCAACGCCGCGUGAGUGAAGAAGGCCUUCGGAUCGUAAAGCCCUGUUAGUGGGGAAGAACAUAUGUAUGAGAAUAGGAGCACAUCGUGACGGUACCUGCAGAAGAAGCACCGGCUAACUACGUG
rnacentral:rRNA from 1 species